GAUGAACGCUGGCGGCGUGCCUAAUACGUGCAAGUCGAGCGAACGGACGAGAAGCUUGCUUCUCUGAUGUUAGCGGCGGACGGGUGAGUAACACGUGGAUAACCUACCUAUAAGACUGGGAUAACUUCGGGAAACCGGAGCUAAUACCGGAUAAUAUUUUGAACCGCAUGGUUCAAAAGUGAAAGACGGUCUUGCUGUCACUUAUAGAUGGAUCCGCGCUGCAUUAGCUAGUUGGUAAGGUAACGGCUUACCAAGGCAACGAUGCAUAGCCGACCUGAGAGGGUGAUCGGCCACACUGGAACUGAGACACGGUCCAGACUCCUACGGGAGGCAGCAGUAGGGAAUCUUCCGCAAUGGGCGAAAGCCUGACGGAGCAACGCCGCGUGAGUGAUGAUGGUCUUCGGAUCGUAAAACUCUGUUAUUAGGGAAGAACAUAUGUGUAAGUAACUGUGCACAUCUUGACGGUACCUAAUCAGAAAGCCACGGCUAACUACGUG
rnacentral:rRNA from 1 species